UGGGGGAUAUUGCACAAUGGGCGAAAGCCUGAUGCAGCGACGCCGCGUGGGGGAUGAAGGCCUGCGGGUUGUAAACUGCUUUUGCUCUGAACAAGGCGCACCAUGGGGUGUGUUGAGUGUAGGGGUUGAUUAGCGCCGGCUAACUACGUGCCAGCAGCCGCGGUAAUACGUAGGGCGCGAGCGUUGUCCGGAAUUAUUGGGCGUAAAGGGAUUGUAGGUGGCUGGUUGCGUCUGUCGUGAAAGAUCAUGGCUUAACUGUGGGUUUGCGGUGGGUACGGGCUGGCUUGAGUGCAGUAGGGGAGGCUGGAAUUCCUGGUGUAGCGGUGGAAUGCGCAGAUAUCAGGAGGAAUACCGGUGGCGAAGGCGGGUCUCUGGGCUGUUACUGACACUGAGGAGCGAAAGCAUGGGGAGCGAACAGG
rnacentral:rRNA from 1 species